AGGAUUAACGCUGGCGGCGUGCCUAAUGCAUGCAAGUCGAACGUGGCGCCUUCGGGCGUUAACGUGGCGGACGGGUGAGGAACACGUGGGGAACCUGCCCAUUGGUGGGGGGUAGCCCGCGGAAACGCGGGGUAAUUCCGCAUACACUGGUCCGGGGAUAGCCUGGAUCAGGAAAGGGUCUUCGGACUCGCCGAUGGAGGGGCCUGCGUCCGAUUAGCUCGUUGGUGGGUAACGCCUACCAAGGCUUUGAUCGGUAGCUGGUCUGAGAGACGGCCAGCCACAGGGGAACUGAGGACACGGUCCCGACUCCUACGGGAGGCAGGCAGCAAGGAGUUUCCGCAAUGGGCGAAAGCCUGACGGAGCAACGCCGCGUGGGGGACUGACACCGUUUCGGGCGUAAACCCCUUUCUUGGGACGAAGCAGUGACGGUUACCCGAGGUAAGAAGGCCCGGCUAACUACGUUAGCCGAGUCCAAGGUCCGC
rnacentral:rRNA from 1 species